rnacentral:rRNA from 1 species
CCUACGGGAGGCUGCAGUGGGGAAUAUUGGACAAUGGGCGAAAGCCUGAUCCAGCCAUGCCGCGUGUGUGAAGAAGGCCUUCGGGUUGUAAAGCACUUUCAGUGGGGAAGAAAGCCUUGGGGCUAAUACCCUCGAGGAAGGACAUCACCCACAGAAGAAGCACCGGCUAACUCCGUGCCAGCAGCCGCGGUAAUACGGAGGGUGCGAGCGUUAAUCGGAAUUACUGGGCGUAAAGCGCGCGUAGGCGGUCUGAUAAGCCGGUUGUGAAAGCCCCGGGCUCAACCUGGGAACGGCAUCCGGAACUGUCAGGCUAGAGUGCAGGAGAGGAAGGUAGAAUUCCCGGUGUAGCGGUGAAAUGCGUAGAGAUCGGGAGGAAUACCAGUGGCGAAGGCGGCCUUCUGGACUGACACUGACGCUGAGGUGCGAAAGCGUGGGUAGCAAACAGGAUUAGAUACCCCUGUAGU